rnacentral:lncRNA from 1 species
CUCUCCACCAUCAAGUGAAGUUAUAAAAGAUACUUAAAGGAGGAAAUAAAAUAAGGUUUUGAAGAGGAUUUCAAGCAUUCAAUUCAGCCCUACGCAAAAAGCUCUCUCGAAGUUAAGAAGCUUUCAUUUCAAGUUCACCAACCCCUCAAGAGCUCAUUCAAGUCUUCAACCACCUUGAGAGAAAUCAGAAAAGCUUCCUUCUUAUUGUGUAAAGUGUAUUUAAAAUUUUAUUUGCUCAUUAAAGG